rnacentral:rRNA from 1 species
UGGGGAAUUUUGGACAAUGGGCGAAAGCCUGAUCCAGCAAUGCCGCGUGUGUGAAGAAGGCCUUCGGGUUGUAAAGCACUUUUGUCCGGAAAGAAACCCUUGGCUCUAAUACAGUCGGGGGAUGACGGUACCGGAAGAAUAAGCACCGGCUAACUACGUGCCAGCAGCCGCGGUAAUACGUAGGGUGCAAGCGUUAAUCGGAAUUACUGGGCGUAAAGCGUGCGCAGGCGGUUUGCUAAGACCGAUGUGAAAUCCCCGGGCUCAACCUGGGAACUGCAUUGGUGACUGGCAGGCUAGAGUAUGGCAGAGGGGGGUAGAAUUCCACGUGUAGCAGUGAAAUGCGUAGAGAUGUGGAGGAAUACCGAUGGCGAAGGCAGCCCCCUGGGCCAAUACUGACGCUCAUGCACGAAAGCGUGGGGAGCAAACAGGAUUAGAUACCCUGGUAGUCCACGCCCUAAACGAUGUCAACUAGUUGUUGGGGAUUCAUUUCCUUAGUAACGUAGCUAACGCGUGAAGUUGACCGCCUGGGGAGUACGGUCGCAAGAUUAAAACUUAAAGGAAUUGACGGGGUCAUAGCUGUUUCCU